rnacentral:rRNA from 1 species
UACAGAGGUCCCGAGCGUUGUUCGGAUUCAUUGGGCGUAAAGGGUGCGUAGGCGGCGGGGCAAGUCUGAUGUGAAAUCCCGGGGCUCAACCCUGGAACUGCAUUGGAUACUGCCUUGCUAGAGUACUGGAGAGGAAACUGGAAUUUACGGUGUAGCAGUGAAAUGCGUAGAUAUCGUAAGGAAGACCAGUGGCGAAGGCGGGUCUCUGGACAGUUCCUGACGCUGAGGCACGAAGGUCAGGGGAGCAAACGGG